GCCGGGCGUGGUGGCGAAUACCUGUAAUCCCAGCUACUUGGGAGGCUGAGGCAGGAGAAUUGCUUGAACCCAGGAGGCGGAGGCUGCAGUGAGCCAAGAUCAUGCCAUUGCACUCUAGCCUGGGCAACAGAGCAAGACUCUGUCUCAA
ensembl:misc_RNA Metazoa_SRP Metazoan signal recognition particle RNA